rnacentral:rRNA from 1 species
CCAGACUCCUACGGGAGGCAGCAGUGGGGAAUAUUGCACAAUGGGGGGAACCCUGAUGCAGCGACGCUGCGUGAGUGAAGAAGUAUUUCGGUAUGUAAAGCUCUAUCAGCAGGGAAGAAAAUGACGGUACCUGACUAAGAAGCCCCGGCUAACUACGUGCCAGCAGCCGCGGUAAUACGUAGGGGGCAAGCGUUAUCCGGAUUUACUGGGUGUAAAGGGAGCGUAGACGGCAUGGCAAGUCUGAUGUGAAAACCCGGGGCUCAACCCCGGGACUGCAUUGGAAACUGUCAGGCUAGAGUGUCGGAGAGGCAAGUGGAAUUCCUAGUGUAGCGGUGAAAUGCGUAGAUAUUAGGAGGAACACCAGUGGCGAAGGCGGCUUGCUGGACGAUGACUGACGUUGAGGCUCGAAAGCGUGGGGAGCAAACAGGAUUAGAUACCCCCGUA